ensembl:snRNA U6 U6 spliceosomal RNA
GUAAAUUCAGCAGCACAUAUACUAAACUUGGAACGAUACAGAGAAGAUUAGCACGGCUGCUGUGCAAAAAUGACACGCAAAUCCCUGAAGCAUUCCAUAUUUUA